rnacentral:rRNA from 1 species
AGUCGAACGGAUCCUUCGGGAUUAGUGGCAGACGGGUGAGUAACGCGUGGGAAGCUACCUUGUGGUAGGGGACAACAGUUUGAAAAGACUGCUAAUACCCUAUGAGCCCUAUGGGGGAAAGAUUUAUCGCCAUGAGAUGUGCCCGCGUUAGAUUAGCUAGUUGGUAAGGUAAUGGCUUACCAAGGCGACGAUCUAUAGCUGGUCUGAGAGGAUGNNNNNNNACACUGGGACUGAGACACGGCCCAGACUCCUACGGGAGGCAGCAGUGGGGAAUAUUGGACAAUGGGGGCAACCCUGAUCCAGCCAUGCCGCGUGUGUGAUGACGGCCUUAGGGUUGUAAAGCACUUUCAGCAGUGAAGAUAAUGACAUUAACUGCAGAAGAAGCCCCGGCUAACUUCGUGCCAGCAGCCGCGGUAAUACGAAGGGGGCUAGCGUUGUUCGGAAUCACUGGGCGUAAAGAGUACGUAGGCGGACUGAUAAGUUAGGGGUGAAAUCCCAAGGCUCAACCUUGGGAACUGCCUUUGAUACUGUCAGUCUUGAGAUCGAGAGAGGNGAGUGGAACUCCGAGUGUAGAGGUGAAAUUCGUAGAUAUUCGGAAGAACACCAGUGGCGAAGGCGGCUCACUGGCUCGAUACUGACGCUGAGG